AUGGGUUCACACACUCCUAGACCCAGAUAUUGAACACCAUUGGGCCAAGAACAGAUCCUUGCAGGGCCCCACUAGAAACACCGCCAUAGGAUGAUGUUUCCCAUUUAUCAUACAUUUCUGAGAUCAAUCAGCUUUGCAUAGGAGCUGUGGAAUGGUGCGUCUUUGGCCCGUUUGCUUCUCUCACUUGAAGAUUCUGACUUCAACUGAUGUGGUUCCAGAGACUCUCACAGCUGCUGUUCCAUAGACUCUUCCCCAUGAAUAGUCUUCUAUGGACUCCUAGUAGAUUUUGAGUAGAGCUGAAUUUUAGAUGUAAGUGUUCUCUUUCAUUCAUUCUGUCUUUCCUUGAUCUCCAUGAAAACUCUAGCUCAUCCCCUUUUUUGGGUUCGAUUAUCUGAGGAAUGUAUCAGU